GUUUGCCUGCCGUGAAGAAGCCAGCGGGUCAGAGCCAGGGAGGAUUUCGCUCGGGAAUGUGCUCCCAGCGAGGGGCUGUGGUGGAGAGCAGGGAUGGAGACGCCGCAGGGAUUGUCCCAAGGCGGAGGGCUGGCGGCAAGGCGGGCAAGGACAGCGGCAAGGCCAAGGCCAAGGCCGUGUCGCGCUCCCAGAGGGCUGGGCUGCAGGUAUGCUCAGGGUGCUGGGCACCCACACCUCUGAUGUGGGGUAAAAACAGGGGGGUUUGGCACUUGGAGGGGCUUGGAGCCAUGGGGGUUUUGCUGUCAGGUGGGACACAGACUGGGAGGAUUAAUUGGGAGAAGUGUUAUAUUAUUAUAUUCAUUAUACUAUUUAUAUUAUAAUGUUACAUAUUACAAUAUUUUAUAUUAUGUGGUAUAAUAUUUUAUAUUAUAUUAUUAUAUAAUAUAUACUUUAUUUUUAUUUUUAUUAUAUAUUUCAUUAUAUUUUAAAUUAAGAAUUAUUAUGAUUAAAAUACAAUUAUUUUAUGCUAUACAAGGUAUAUAUUGUAUAUAUAUACAAUAUAUACACUUACAUACNUGCUCCCGCCGCUCCCGCUGCCGUCGCUCUUUUUAAAGGGAUUUUUAAAGCGAAUUUCUUCCGUUUAUCCCGUUUUUAAGCCUUCUCCGUCGCAAAGGACCCGGAUCCCUCACUCACUCACUCGGGAGCAAUAGUCCUUCCUCGAUGGCCGAUGUGUCCUGUACUGUAUUUUGUACCCUCAGGCAGCUCUUUCCGGUGAAUUCCUGCUGUAUCCACCCAUCCUCCUGGUCCUGUGUUCUUUGCCACGGAGAAAAAUCCAUAAACCACGACGGCGACGACGGGUUUGGGGGGAAGAACGCUCCCAGCUCCGCGGGACUCACCGGCGUCCAGCCGCGGGACCUCUCCUUUUAUUUUUGAAGAGGAUGAGAUAUAUAUAUAUAUAUAUAUAUAAAAAUAUAUAUAUAUUCCUUUGGGUUUCUUUCUUUUGGCUGAAUUGCGGUGAUUUAGCCUUAUUUCUACUCUGGGAGAGCGGCGGAAUUGCUGCCGGCCCGGCCCAGCUCUGGGGAGCUGGCUAGAAAUACGUGGAAGAGGAAAAAAAAAGCAAGGCAAAACCACCUAAAUCCAGUAAUAAACCCAAAAAAGAGCUCCCGGCGUUGGCCCA
rnacentral:lncRNA from 1 species